rnacentral:rRNA from 1 species
AACGAACGCUGGCGGCAGGCCUAACACAUGCAAGUCGAACGCCGUAGCAAUACGGAGUGGCAGACGGGUGAGUAACGCGUGGGAACAUGCCCUUCGGUUCGGAAUAACUCAGGGAAACUUGAGCUAAUACCGAAUACGUCCAAGGAAACUUGGAGAAAGAUUUAUCGCCGGAGGAUUGGCACGCGUAUGAUUAGCUUGUUGGUGGGGUAAUGGCUCACCAAGGCGACGAUCAGUAGCUGGUCUGAGAGGCUGAUCUGCCACAUUGGGACUGAGACACGGCCCAAACUCCUACGGGAGGCAGAAGUGGAGAAUAUUGGACAAUGGGCGCAAGCCUGAUCCUGCCAUGCCGCGUGAGUAAUGAAGGGCCUAGGGUUGUAAAGCUAUUUUGCCUGUGAAGAUAAUGACGGUACCGGUAGAAUAAGCCCCGGCUAACUUCGUGCCAGCGGCCGCCGUAACAC